UGCUGGAUUAGAUGUACCCAGUGCCCUUGGUGAGCUCUGGGGAGAUACGAUCCUCGCCCUCCCGCCUCCGACCUGCUGGCGCCCAGUGCCGUCACCACAGCAACGGGGAGAAACAGCCCAUCCGCAUGGAAACGGCCUUGCUGUGCCCGCCAGCCCGCUCGGGAACGCGGUUCAAGUGGAGAGCUUGGAAAGGAAUUCUGGAUGGAGCUGGGACAGCGAUAAUACAUCACAGACCCACAACAAGCUCCUGCUGCUUGUGGAUACACAGAGGACCCUGGAAAAUCCAGUUUGUGGCGCACAAGGCAGGGCAAAAGAGACUGCAAGCAUCAAACCUGGCACGAUCCCAGCAGCCCCUUUAG
rnacentral:lncRNA from 1 species